CCUGGUGGAGAACUGAUAUUAUUUGACUACCAAAUCCAUCAGAAAUUGGCAUCUUGCAUGGAACUUGAUUCUGCUCGUCCGAUGGUAAGGUAUAGAUAUCCUAUAAAUGAACUGUAGUGGAAGUAUUGUUGUUCCAACGCAUAACAUCAUGUUGAAAAUUCCUUGGAAUAAAUAGGCAGUGAGGAAAUUAAUGGACCAUAUCUGAAGGAUAGAUUUGAUGCAACUUCAAAACAUAUCCCAGUUCCGGUCUGUAGUCAGAAAGUCUGAUGCUCUUAGAUUUUGAAUAUCAAUAUCCAUGUUGAGAGGCAGAGGCCACCGACUAGGAGUGGUGGUAGUGAUCCCAAGGUUGAUAGAAAGAAAACACUGAUAUCAGAACCUGAAGAAGUGAUCCACUUAAAUAAAAAAAUGACUGGAAACAAGAUCAGUAUACAUUGUUUAAUUGUCCAAUUUAUGCAUCUAAUUCUCUUCAAUUUUUUCUGCAACUCUGCAGCAAAACUAUAGCUGUCUUUUUGAGUCAGUUACAACUUACAAGGUUGCAAGUAGUAAUUUCUCAAGGCACUCUUCCAAGAGGA
rnacentral:lncRNA from 1 species